UAUAUACUCCCUCCGUUCGGAAAUACUUGUCGGGGAAUGGGUGUAUCUAGAUGCAUUUUAGCUCUAGAUACAUCCAUUUCUAUCCAUUUUUGCAACAAGUAAUUCCGUAUAGAGGGAGUAUAAA
rfam:Hordeum vulgare subsp. vulgare, WGS project CAJW01000000 data, contig: morex_contig_79038